UACGUAGGUGGCAAGCGUUGUCCGGAUUUACUGGGUGUAAAGGGCGUGUAGACGGAUGUGCAAGUCAGAUGUGAAAUACCGGGGCUUAACCCCGGGGCUGCAUUUGAAACUGUACACCUUGAGUGCGGGAGAGGUAAGCGGAAUUCCUAGUGUAGCGGUGAAAUGCGUAGAUAUUAGGAGGAACACCAGUGGCGAAGGCGGCUUACUGGACCGUAACUGACGUUGAGGCGCGAAAGCGUGGGGAGCAA
rnacentral:rRNA from 1 species